GGGAAGGGACUGUGAUUAAGUUGUCUGAGUGUGGUCUGAGAUGUGUCUUUGUGUGUGACCCCUUGAAAUGCAGUGACUUGGAAGAAGAGUAACGUUCUGAUAAGGAGCAGCCCGUCCCAUGUGGUCAAGGCUGAGGGGGAGCAGCACUCCCUACUGAUAACCCAGAUGAGGCCUGGAGACGCCGGGACGUACUGCGUCACCGCUGUCAACGCGGCCGGGAAAGCAUCCUGCAACGCCACGCUCUACAUCAAAUCAGAGCUGACCCAGGUGCAUGGUGGGAAGCUGAGCAGCUUGCCCCUGGUGGAGGUCACGAGUCCCCUCCAAUCAGACGAGGAGUACCUGAGCCCCAUGGAGGAGGUCAUGGAGAUUGGAGAACCACCCUCACGAGGGGUGGGGCCACAGUCUAAAUACGCCUUCUUCAAAGAUCCUCCCUCCUUUCAGGUAAAGAAGAUUCAGCGGGCAUCUCAAUAGUCUAAGGGGGAUUUCUCCCCUCGCCAUUGAGUAUUCAAUGUACCGGCUUUUAGACAGUCUUAGUCUUUUGGUUUGAUAGGCAGCACUGAAUGACCACGGGGUGACAGAGGGACAGGAGGUUACCAUGUCUGUCAAAGUCAGAGGACAGCCUAAACCUAUGGUGUACUGGUAAGAAUACAGUAUUCAGUGUGUUUCAGUACAGUUUGUCAUGUCUUUCUCUCGUUUGCUUUUGCAAGAGCUCAGAAUGUAUCUGUUUUUAUCACCUAGGUUGAGGGACAAAGUGACCCUAAAAACCAAUGGUAGAUUCAUUGUUCGUGAGACAGAGGACGGCACCAGUGAAAUGAUCAUCACUUCAGCACAGAGAUCUGAUGCAGGACUCUACACCUGCAAGAUCAUCAACGAAUACGGAACCAAGCAGAGCGAAUGCAAACUAGAGGUCAAAGGUAAAGAUCACUCCAAAAUCCACAAGACCAGCGUCAGUGACUGACCAUUAGGGUUGGUGUCAGCUGCAUUUUGAAAAAGCUCAAAAUCAAAUCAAAGUGUAUUGUUAUCGCAGGUGCAGCAAAAUGCUUGUGUUUCUAGCUGCAACAGUAACAGAUCUGUGUUGGUCUCUCCUCUGUCUUAUCCUCAGCCUCCCCAGCACAGGAAGCCCUGGCCAUCAUCAGAGAGGUGCGAGACGUGGCGGUGAGGGCCGGAGAGUCGGCCAUGUUUGAGUGUCACAUGACCGGGCCUCUGGAUGUGGAGGUAGACUGGCUGUCCAAUGGGAAACUGGUUCAGCCGGCACUGCUCAACUGCAAGAUGAUCUUUAACGGGAAGAGGUGGGUAGGACUAGACCAAGGCUCUCCAACCCUGCUAUCGCUCCAACCCUAAUCUAGCGCACCUGAUUCUAAUAAGUAGCUGGUUGAUAAGCUGCAUCAGGUUUGUUAGAACUGGGGUUGGAGUGAAAACCUACGGGAGGGUGGCUCUCCAGGAACAGGGUUGGAGAGAAAACCCUACAGGAGGGUAGCUCUCCAGGAACAGGGUUGGAGUAAAACCCUACAGGAGGGUACCUCUCCAGGAACAGGGUUGGAGUGAAACCCUACAGGAGGGUACCUCUCCAG
ensembl:lncRNA